rnacentral:rRNA from 1 species
ACUUAAUAUAAAUUAUAUUUUGUUCUUAAAUUAUAAAUAAUCAUAAUAAAAUCUAGUUUAUAUUUUGUUGGGGAGAUAUUGAUAUAAAUUGUAACUGUCUAAUCUAAAAAAUAUAAUUAUUAUUAUAAUGUGAUCCUUCACUGGGGAUAAAAAGAAUAAGUU